rnacentral:rRNA from 1 species
CUACGUGCCAGCAGCCGCGGUAAUACGGAAGGUCCAGGCGUUAUCCGGAUUUAUUGGGUUUAAAGGGAGCGUAGGCGGAUUGUUAAGUCAGCGGUUAAAGGGUGUGGCUCAACCAUGCAUUGCCGUUGAAACUGGCGAUCUUGAGUGCAGACAGGGAUGCCGGAAUUCGUGGUGUAGCGGUGAAAUGCUUAGAUAUCACGAAGAACUCCGAUCGCGAAGGCAGGUGUCCGGGCUGCAACUGACGCUGAAGCUCGAAAGUGUGGGUAUCAAACAGGAUUAGAUACCCUGGUAGUCCACACAGUAAACGAUGUAUACUCGCGGUUUGCGAUAGAUUGUAAGCCGCCAAGCGAAAGCAUUAAGUAUACCACCUGGGGAGUACGCCGGCAACGGUGAAACUCAAAGGAAUUGACGGGGGCCCGCACAAGCGGAGGAACAUGUGGUUUAAUUCGAUGAUACGCGAGGAACCUUACCCGGGCUUGAACUAACGGUGACGAAUCUAGAGAUAG